GGCCCGGUCGCGGAUGGUACGCGCCUGCGAACAGUAGACGCAAAGCGUAGAAUAUCUUCUGCAGGACACCGCUCGUUCGAUUCGAGCCCGGGCCA